rnacentral:rRNA from 1 species
GUGGGUAGUUUGACUGGGGCGGUCUCCUCCUAAAGAGUAACGGAGGAGCACGAAGGUUGGCUAAUCCUGGUCGGACAUCAGGAGGUUAGUGCAAUGGCAUAAGCCAGCUUGACUGCGAGCGUGACGGCGCGAGCAGGUGCGAAAGCAGGUCAUAGUGAUCCGGUGGUUCUGAAUGGAAGGGCCAUCGCUCAACGGAUAAAAGGUACUCCGGGGAUAACAGGCUGAUACCGCCCAAGAGUUCAUAUCGACGGCGGUGUUUGGCACCUCGAUGUCGGCUCAUCACAUCCUGGGGCUGAAGUAGGUCCCAAGGGUAUGGCUGUUCGCCAUUUAAAGUGGUACGCGAGCUGGGUUUAGAACGUCGUGAGACAGUUCGGUCCCUAUCUGCCGUGGGCGCUGGAGAACUGAGGGGGGCUGCUCCUAGUACGAGAGGACCGGAGUGGACGCAUCACUGGUGUUCGGGUUGUCAUGCCAAUGGCACUGCCCGGUAGCUAAAUGCGGAAGAGAUAAGUGCUGAAAGCAUCUAAGCACGAAACUUGCCCCGAGAUGAGUUCUCCCUGAGACUUAAAGUCUCCUGAAGGAACGUUGAAGACGACGACGUUGAUAGGCCGGGUGUGUAAGCGCAGCGAUGCGUUGAGCUAACCGGUACUAAUGAA